AAUACCGCAUGAGCGCACAGGACCGCAUGGUCGAGUGUGAAAAACUGAGGUGGUGUAAGAUGGACCCGCGUCUGAUUAGCUAGUUGGUGAGGUAACGGCCCACCAAGGCGACGAUCAGUAGCCGGCCUGAGAGGGUGGACGGCCACAUUGGGACUGAGACACGGCCCAAACUCCUACGGGAGGCAGCAGUGGGGGAUAUUGGACAAUGGGGGGAACCCUGAUCCAGCGACGCCGCGUGAGUGAAGAGGUAUCUCGGUAUGUAAAGCUCUAUCAGCAGGGAAGAAGAAAUGACGGUACCUGAGUAAGAAGCCCCGGCUAACUACGUGCCAGCAGCCGCGGUAAUACGUAGGGGGCAAGCGUUAUCCGGAAUUACUGGGUGUAAAGGGAGCGUAGACGGUGAUGUAAGUCUGGAGUGAAAGGCGGGGGCCAACCCCCGGACUGCUCUGGAAACUAUGUGACUGGAGUGCAGGAGAGGUGAGCGGAAUUCCUAGUGUAGCGGUGAAAUGCGUAGAUAUUAGGAGGAACACCAGUGGCGAAGGCGGCUCACUGGACUGUAACUGACGUUGAGGCUUGAAAGCGUGGGGAGCAAACAGGAUUAGAUACCCUGGUAGUCCACGCCGUAAACGAUGAUCACUAGGUGUGGGUGGGUAUGGACCCAUCGGUGCCGCAGC
rnacentral:rRNA from 1 species